rnacentral:rRNA from 1 species
AACGAACGCUGGCGGCAGGCCUAACACAUGCAAGUCGAGCGAAGCCUUCGGGCUUAGCGGCGGACGGGUGAGUAACGCGUGGGAACGUGCCCUUUGCUACGGAAUAGCCCCGGGAAACUGGGAGUAAUACCGUAUGUGCCCUUCGGGGGAAAGAUUUAUCGGCAAAGGAUCGGCCCGGGUUGGAUUAGGUAGUUGGCGGGGUAAUGGCCUACCAAGCCGACGAUCCAUAGCUGGUUUGAGAGGAUGAUCAGCCACACUGGGACUGAGACACGGCCCAGACUCCUACGGGAGGCAGCAGUGGGGAAUCUUAGACAAUGGGGGAAACCCUGAUCUAGCCAUGCCGCGUGAUCGAUGAAGGCCUUAGGGUUGUAAAGAUCUUUCAGUGGGGAAGAUAAUGCCUGUACCCACAGAAGAAGCCCCGGCUAACUCCGUGCCAGCCGCCGCCGUAAUAC